CUUUAACCGAUGGAUUCCUAUCCGAUUCUGUAGAAAACUUGAACAGUUGAACAUUUGCUUACGCCUCGAUGCUCUUUUCUUUACACAUUUUAUGUGGAAUUUGGAAGCAAAAUUCAAAUCUAAAUUGCUAGCACGUGGAUCAGAACUUAAAAUACAAGAACCAGAAGAAAAAAUUUGCAGAACUGCCUCAGAAGUUCCCAUCAUAAAAUGCUUAUCAAGAACAUCAAAUUGCAACAAAUUGAAAAUGCCUUUAGUCAAAGUGCUUCCAAGAACUUUGCCUUGACUCAAGACACACCUGAAACUAAACCAACAAAUUUUGGUUGGGACCAAGCAAAAUUAUCUGAAGGAACGAAUAAAGAGACUUAAAUUAUAGUAUAAUCUGCACGAAUGCUAUGGGUUUUCUAUAUUGGAUAAGCAAACACAUAACCCGUGCCUUGAACGAAACUAAACAAGCAAUCGCAAUCAGAACUAAAGAUAG
rnacentral:misc_RNA from 1 species